rnacentral:rRNA from 1 species
UACGAAGGGAGCUAGCGUUGUUCGGAAUCACUGGGCGUAAAGCGCGCGCAGGUGGCUUUUCAAGUUAGGAGUGAAAGCCUGGGGCUCAACCCCAGAACUGCUCUUAAGACUGAGGGGCUAGAGUGUGGGAGAGGAUAGCGGAAUUCCGUGUGUAGAGGUGAAAUUCGUAGAUAUACGGAGGAACACCAAUGGCGAAGGCAGCUAUCUGGAACACAACUGACACUGAGGCGCGAAAGUGUGGGGAUCAAACAGG